GACAGGGGGUGCAAACGUUGUUCGGAUUUACUGGGCGUAAAGCGCGUGUAGGCGGCUUGGCAAGUUGGAUGUGAAAGCCCACGGCUCAACCGUGGAAGCGCAUCCAAAACUGCUUCGCUCGAGUCUCGGAGAGGAAGGUGGAAUGCUUGGUGUAGAGGUGAAAUUCGUAGAUAUCAAGCAGAACACCUGCGGCGAAGGCGGCCUUCUGGACGAUGACUGACGCUGAGACGCGAAAGCGUGGGGAGCAGACAGG
rnacentral:rRNA from 1 species